UUCCGGUUGAUCCUGCCGGAGGUCAUUGCUAUUGGAGUCCGAUUAAGCCAUGCUAGUCGCACGGGUUUAGACCCGUGGCGGACAGCUCAGUAACACGUGGCCAAACUACCCUGUAGAUCGGUACAAUCUCGGGAAACUGAGGGUAAUGCCGAAUACGACUCGCCAUCUGGAAUGAGGGGAGUCGGAAAUGCUCCGGCGCUACAGGAUGUGGCUGCGGCCGAUUAGGUAGACGGUGGGGUAACGGCCCACCGUGCCGAUAAUCGGUACGGGUUGUGAGAGCAAGAGCCCGGAGAUGGAUUCUGAGACAAGAAUCCAGGCCCUACGGGGCGCAGCAGGCGCGAAACCUUUACACUGCACGAAAGUGCGAUAAGGGGACUCCAAGUGCGAGGGCAUACAGUCCUCGCUUUUGUACACCGUAAGGAGGUGUACGAAUAAGAGCUGGGCAAGACCGGUGCCAGCCGCCGCGGUAAUACCGGCAGCUCAAGUGAUGACCGCUAUUAUUGGGCCUAAAGCGUCCGUAGCCGGCCGAACAGGUCCGUUGGGAAAUCUGCUCGCUUAACGAGCAGGCGUCCAGCGGAAACCAGUCGGCUUGGGACCGGAAGACCCGAGGGGUACGUCUGGGGUAGGAGUGAAAUCCUGUAAUCCUGGACGGACCGUCGGUGGCGAAAGCGCCUCGGGAGGACGGAUCCGACGGUGAGGGACGAAAGCUAGGGUCACGAACCGGAUUAGAUACCCGGGUAGUCCUAGCCGUAAACGAUGCUCGCUAGGUGUGGCGCUGGCUACGAGCCAGCGCUGUGCCGUAGGGAAGCCGUGAAGCGAGCCGCCUGGGAAGUACGUCCGCAAGGAUGAAACUUAAAGGAAUUGGCGGGGGAGCACUACAACCGGAGGAGCCUGCGGUUUAAUUGGAUUCAACGCCGGA
rnacentral:rRNA from 1 species